rnacentral:rRNA from 1 species
CCCUAAACGAUGUCAACUAGCUGUUGGGGCCUUCGGGCCUUGGUAGCGCAGCUAACGCGUGAAGUUGACCGCCUGGGGAGUACGGUCGCAAGAUUAAAACUCAAAGGAAUUGACGGGGACCCGCACAAGCGGUGGAUGAUGUGGAUUAAUUCGAUGCAACGCGAAAAACCUUACCUACCCUUGACAUGUCUGGAAUUCCGAAGAGAUUUGGAAGUGCUCGCAAGAGAACCGGAACACAGGUACUGCAUGGCUGUCGUCAGCUCGUGUCGUGAGAUGUUGGGUUAAGUCCCGCAACGAGCGCAGCCCUUGUCAUUAGUUGCUACGAAAGGGCACUCUAAUGAGACUGCCGGUGACAAACCGGAGGAAGGUGGGGAUGACGUCAAGUCCCCAUGGCCCUUAUGGGUAGGGCUUCACACGUCAUACAAUGGUCGGGACAGAGGGUCGCCAACCCGCGAGGGGGAGCCAAUCCCAGAAACCCGAUCGUAGUCCGGAUCGCAGUCUGCAACUCGACUGCGUGAAGUCGGAAUCGCUAGUAAUCGCGGAUCAGCAUGUCGCGGUGAAUACGUUCCCGGGUCUUGUACACACCGCCCGUCACACCAUGGGAGUGGGUUUUACCAGAAGUAGUUAGCCUAACCGUAAGGGGGGCGAUUACCACGGUAGGAUUCAUGACUGGGGUGAAGUCGUAACAAGGUAACC